CUGUUAUUAGACUGUUAUUGGACUGUUAUUAGACUGUUGUUAUUGGACUGUUAUUAGACUGUUAUUAGACUGUUAUUAGACUGUUGUUGCACUGUUAUUAGACUGUUAUUGGACUGUUAUUGGACUGU